rnacentral:tRNA from 1 species
GCCGGAGUGGCGGAAUUGGCAGACGCACCGGACUCAAAAUCCGGCGGGCUAAUCACCCGUGGGGGUUCGAGUCCCCCCUCCGGCA